rnacentral:rRNA from 1 species
UACGGAGGGGGCGAGCGUUAUUCGGAAUUAUUGGGCGUAAAGGGCGCGUAGGCGGCUUGUUAAGUCAAAGGUGAAAUCCCUCGGCUCAACUGAGGAAUUGCCUUUGAAACUAGCGAGCUUGAGGCCGGGAGGGGGUAGCGGAAUUCCCAGUGUAGCGGUGAAAUGCGUAGAUACUGGGAGGAACACCAGUGGCGAAGGCGGCCCACUGGUCCGGUACUGACGCUGAGGUGCGAAAGCGUGGGGAGCAAACAGG